GGGAAAGGAGGUGGAUAUUCACAGACAACCAGGAGGUUGGCUUAGAAGCAGCCAUGCCUUGAAAGAGUGCGUAAUAGCUCACUGGUCGAGAGUGCCUGCGCCGAAGAUGUAACGGGGCUAAGACAUAAACCGAAGCUGUGGAAGAUACACUGUAUCUUGGUAGGAGAGCGUUCUGUAGGCCGUCGAAGGGAUGCCGUAAGGCCAUCCUGGAGGUAUCAGAAGUGAGAAUGCAGGAAUGAGUAGCGAGAAGGCGGGUGAGAAUCCCGCCGGCCGGAAGUCCAAGGUUUCCAGGGGAAGGCUUGUCCGCCCUGGGGAAGUCGGGACCUAAGCAUAAGCAAAAUUGUGAUGGCGAAUGGAAAACAGGUUAAUAUUCCUGUACCACUAUUAUCGCUUGAGAGACGGAGUGACGCAGGAAGGUAUGUGAGAAGGCUGACGGUUUAGCCUUUCUAAGGGCCCAGCGUGGGCGUGCAGGUAAAUCCGCACGCCUAAACGUGAGACCUGACGGGGAAGUGCAUUUGCAUAAGUCGCAGAUCCUACACUGCCAAGAAAAACUUCUAUCGAUGAGAAGCAGCGCCCGUACUGUAAACCGACACAGGUGGACAGAGUGAGAAACUUAAGGCCGACAGGAUAACUCUAGCUAAGGAACUCUGCAAAAUAGCCCCGUAACUUCGGGAGAAGGGGUGCCUGAUAUACCUGGAGGGAGAGACGCCCCGAGGGGAAACAGGCCGCAGUGAAGAGUCCCAAGCAACUGUUUACCAAAAACACAGGUCUAUGCUAAGCUGAAAGGCGACGUAUAUGGGCUGACACCUGCCCAGUGCCGGAAGGUUAAGAGGAGGAUUGAGAGAUUCGAAUUGAAGCCCCGGUGAACGGCGGCCGUAACUAUAACGGUCCUAAGGUAGCGAAAUUCCUUGUCGGGUAAGUUCCGACCUGCACGAAUGGUGAAAUGAUUUGGGAGCUGUCUUGGCUGGAGACCUGGUGAAGUUGUAAUGUCGGUGAAGAUACCGACUACCUGCAGUAGGACGGAAAGACCCCGUGGAGCUUUACUGUAGUUUGGCAUUGGGUUUUGGCUGUGUGUGUAUAGGAUAGUUGGGAGACUGUGAAGUUAAGGCGUCAGUUUUAACUGAGUCGUCGUUGGAAUACCAACCAUAUGCCGUUGAAAUUCUAAUCUGGUAACGGAGACAGUGCUAGAUGGGCAGUUUGACUGGGGCGGUCGCCUCCCAAAGAGUAACGGAGGCGUUCAAAGG
rnacentral:rRNA from 1 species